rnacentral:lncRNA from 1 species
GUGAAAAAGACCAUCUUGUGCCCUACCCCCCACCCCCUCAGCUCCUGCAGCACAAGUGCCCAGCACACCACUGUUUGUGGGAUGCACUCCACACAGGCAUCUCACCUACAGCUACAGGCUGGGAGGGAACCCCUGCACCAACAGCCCGGGUCAUGGCAUCCUCUAGUAUUACUAUUCCAAAACCCUCAAAGAUAAGCCACUCUUACCCUACAUGAGGUACAGCAGAAAUGUCUGGGCCAGAGUCAAGGCUUCCAAUACGGACCUGAAAUUGAUGGAAAUUGGCAAGAUUAUUGGUGGAAUGUGGGGAGUUGUCACUGAUGAAGAAAAACAAGAAUAUUUAAAUGAAUAUGAGGUAACAAAGAUAGAGUACAAUGACUCUAUGAAGGUCUAUCAUAAUUCCCCCACACAUUUUGCUUACAUAAAUGCAAAAAAGCUGCUUUAGAGGAAAGAAUUUGACAGAGGCCGUCUCACAUGGAGAAAGGAGA